CAAUAGCGUAUAUUAAAGUUGUUGCAGUUAAAAAGCUCGUAGUUGGACUUCUGCGGGUGGCGGCCGGUCGUGCUCGAAACGGGCGUGAACUUGGCGUGCUGCCCGCAUCUUUGGGGAGAUUGUGCGUGGCAUUAAGUUGUCGUGCAUGGGAUUCUCAUCAUUUACUGUGAAAAAAUUAGAGUGUUUAAAGCAGGCCUUUGCCUUGAAUACAUUAGCAUGGAAUAAUAAGAUAGGACCGUUGUCUAUUUUGUUGGUUUACAGAUGUCGGUAAUGAUUAAUAGGGAUAGUUGGGGGUAUUCGUAUUCAGUUGUCAGAGGUGAAAUUCUUGGAUUUUCGGAAGACGCACGACUGCGAAAGCAUUUACCAAGGAUGUUUNCAUUAA
rnacentral:rRNA from 1 species